rnacentral:miRNA from 14 species
UUAGAAAGUACUAUACAUAAAUACAUUUAUUUAGACCCAUCUAUAAAGAUACACACACACACACACAUAUGUGUGUGUGUAUGUGUGUGUGUGUGUGUGUAUAUAUAUGUAUAUAUA